rnacentral:lncRNA from 1 species
UAUCCUUCUGUCAUCUCACUUUAAUUCUUGCCUUGACUUUCAAAUAGCUCUUUCCAUCAAAUUGCAAACAUAAUUUUGAUUGUAUAAAUGGCAAGACCUUUGCAGACCUAAGAGACAUUCAUUAUAACGUAUUUACUUUUAUAAGCAUUGUUGUAAUGUACAAGAAGAUAAUGAAUGUACUGGUAAUUAAUUACAGAUAUUGGAGAAAGUAGCACAGUAGAAAUCAAAAUCAAAACCUUUUUUUGUCGCUUCUGUUUAAUUAUACCAUUGGAGGUAACCCUAACGACUGCAGUGUAGAUUUUAAUCAUCAGAUCAUUGGGCCCUACCAAUUAACAUUGAUUUGGGAAAGUUGCCUGGGGUGUGCAAGAAACUUUAGGGCCAUCUAAUCAAAUCAUAGCAGAAAAAAGAUAAUGUAAUUAAUACAAUGCUGUUAUAAUUUAUCAUUUCAUUCCAGUUAAACUCUAGGUAGCAGACAAGUUCCUCUCAUAAUGGACCAAGAUGGGUAUGUUUUCUGCUUUCUGUCAAAAGCUAUACUUCAAUAAUGAAUACAGCUUCAACCAAAAACCUCCAAAAGAAUAACCAAACAAUUCUAUCUUGGUAUCUAGUAACUUCAGAGAACACAAACAACCUAGUCAAAUUCCCAUGUUGUGGAGAAGGGCCAAAGGAAUACAACAACAUGAAAAGUAUCUGUGUAGUACCCCCUAUUCUUGUAAAGUUUGCAGAACAGCUUGUGUUACUCGAUUUAAUGCCCUAAUCACUAGCGAGGGUCCUUUUACUUCUGGCCCACUUCUACAUUAAUUAUCACACAUGCCUGGUUGGAAUUCAUCAACUUCAGAUCUUUUCAGUCCACCACAAUUUUACAUGAAACUUGGUACAAAACUAAUUUCUGCGUCAAAGGAAACAGUUUACUUGUGGUAAGAAAUACAAAGUCAGAUAAAACAAGUGGGUUGGGUUGGGUUGGAAUAUUAUAUAUAAACAGUUCAUCAACCAUAAGCCCACAGAUUUAAGCGUGGAAAAAAAAGGAGAGGAAAGAAAGAGGGAAAGCUUUGAAACAAAAUGAGUUGAAAAUAAAAAGGUUACAAUUUGAACCACAAAUGUUAUCUUGUUCCUUUUUCCUUAUAUAGUACAGACAGAAAAAAAGGAAAGGCAUCCAGAUAGAAACGAAAUAAACGCAUUAUGAGAAAAUAUAAGCAAGACUUUUAUAGAGGAUAAUUGUGGUCUGGCAAUGAAGCACUCCUAGAUGUUUGUACUAGUACACAAAUUGAGCAGUGCUUGGUUGUCAUAGUUAUCUCCUGGUUGAAAAGAACCCCAGACCAACCCUUUGCUUUGCCAUAUAUCUAUCUAUCUAUCGUGUGGUCCUUGCAAUUAUGCCAUCUAAAGUGGUGUUGAUCGAGACUGCUAUAGCUAUAGAUAGAUAGAUAGAUAGAUAGAUAGAUAGAGAUAGUGAGAGAGAGGGUUGGAGAUAUAAGUGGUGGAGAGAACGGCAUGUAUAAAUGGAAAGACAGAAAGAGAAAGGGAGAAAAAACAGCAAAUUUUUGGUGUACUAUAGAGUGCUUUCAAGUGUGGAUGGACUAUUACCAUUUUGACAACAAGUUGGGAGAGAUCAUGGGGUGUUUUUAGUUCUAUGGCAAGUUCCAAUUGGUUAUUAGGGCUUGGAGAGUCUCAUUCUCUACGCAUACAUACAUGACAGUGGCAAGUACCAUUCUAUCUUGCUUCCUUUCUUUCUUCACUCAGAGCCAGACAUAUAUAGAGAGAGAGAAACAAUCUACUUCACUAUAUAUAUAUAUCAAAGUAAGCAUAACACAGAAAGAUAAGCACGCAGCACGCAGCACGCAUGGGAAGAGAAACCAGCCAACAUCAACAACAUUCUCUAACACACUCUGAUAUAGAUAGAUAGAUAGAUAGAUAGAUACUCACAAACAUUGACAUCCACCACAAACACAGCACAAAGAAGAGAGAGAGUGAUGAUAGAGUUGGAUAGUGAGAUUGAGAAUGAUGGCGCAUCUCUUUUUGGAGAAAGUGACCUACUGAGCAACCCCAGUCAAAGGGAGCAUUGGCUACCAUUGCAAGCCGUUCCAUGGAAAUAAUUGUACUUUGUUUCCCCCAUUAUCUACUUUUAGGGUUAGACACAGACGGACACCUGGAGGUUUCCAACAGUGAAUCAAAAUUAUAGUUAAAAAAGACAAAGGGAAUAAUAAGAAGAAAUGAAAUUAUUUGAGUUAUGUGAAUCUUCCCAUAAAAAGUCACGGCAUGUGACAUCCCACUCCUACGCACCAUGCUCUGUGGGACAACGUUAAACGCAAAUAGUAUAGUAUAGUUUAGUACCUUUAAUUUCAACAAUCGAAUUACUUCUUCAACAUAUCUAUCCAAUACCAGUUUAAUUAAUUAUAGCAGAUAUGAUGAAUUUCAUAAGAAAACAUGUAUCUUUCAUGCUCUAAUGUUUUGUAGAUAGAUUUGUGAAAGAAGAGUAGGGGAAUUAAAGGUGUGGUUUUAGUUUGCUGUCAAGUCGGGUGUGUUCUGUGCGCACCACGUGAAGUGGCACAAACUAUAACUUUUUUCCUAUCCACUCACUUUCUUCUUGCAAUGUUAUCGUUCUAAAGAGAUCAUAACUUUUUGCUCAAAAGAAACGAUUAAGAAAAAGGAUGGCCCUUGUCUACAAUAAAUUGCUCAUGUUGGGUCCUUUGUCUCACACAUUAUCUUUACUACUCAAACCACUCUCCCUCUCCCAACCUCUCUCAUAAUUCAACCCUCUCAUGCUUAUAACAAGGUAUUAUUGUCUAUGUGCUGUCAUUCUCAUACUGUACCACUCUUUUCUUCGGCAACCCAAUUCCACUGUGCCACCACUCUCACACAAACUAACACACACAUAUAAGCUGCUGCUGCUGCUUCUGCUGCAUCAUAUCCGUAGCCUUGUCCCUCUCACUCAUCAGACUCACCCCUAGGUGAAAAUAAAUAACUGUAGUACUAGCUGCUAGUAAGUAUCUUGAUUAGUAAUACUCACAUGCUUAUGUUAUGUUAUGUCUUCCUUUACUUUCAGGGUAACAGCCAAAACCAAAAAGAAAAUGAGAGUGUUCUUUCUUUUUCAUUAGGGAUAUAGAGGCAGCAAAGAUGUCGUUCUCAGGCAUUCAAACUCCCAACCAAUAACCAGUUCCAUCUUGAAGGGUAGGGUUACUUUGGUGCAGUCUCCAGCUAAAUAUUAAUUCCAGAUAUGUAUUCCUCAAAUACCUCCUUCAACGGCAAUGACCUACUCUCGUACCCUAGCCAACCAUUUUGCUUUAGGCCUUUUUCCUUUGAAAGCAACCCAACCAAUUCUUCAAAACACCAAUCCAAUUCCAAUUACGCCCUUCCUCCUCCUCUUCCUCCUCCUUUGUCCUUUCUUCAAUCCUUUGACGAAAAUAUCUUUCUCGAACACCACCAUGACUUUCUCUUACUUCACCCCUCUCUAGCCGACCCCGGACUCUCAAAAAACCUUCACGUUGCUCCCGAAAUCCCCGCAAUUCCCUCCUCUGGACAACCUGCCACUGCCCCUAUGGACCACACUACAAGGAAGAGGUCCACCAAGAGAGAUCGCCACAGCAAAAUCAACACCGCACGAGGCCUCAGAGACCGAAGAAUGAGGCUGUCCCUCGAAGUUGCAAAGAGGUUCUUCGGCUUGCAAGACAUGCUAGGCUUUGACAAGGCCAGCAAAACCGUCGAGUGGCUACUGAACCAAGCAAAAGUCGAAAUCAAACAACUUGCUAGGGAAAAAAACAGUGUUGGUGGUGCCAAGAGUGCAUCAUCAACUUCUGAAUGCGAAGGGGUGUCUAGCUUGGACGAGGUUGUGGUCAGUGGAGUUAACGAGGAGCACGAGAAGGAGACACCCAACAUGAAGAGAAGAACAAGUAAGGUUUGUAGAAAGAGGGAAAAGGCAAGAGAAAGGGCGAGAGAAAGAACAAGAGAGAAGAUGAGGACUCGGAGAGUACUUGCUGCAGAUGCUUCAAACCUUAACCGUUUGAGUUCUUGGAACCCCUUUGAAACGGUUGAAGACUCUGCGGCUACUCAGAGCCAAAGCGUGAACCACCCCUCCUUGGAUGCGCACCUUCCUGAGACCGAAGAACCAAGUUCUCACGCAAAGGAACAUUUGGGAACCGUGGAGGACAUAGCGCGCCAUGAAGACAAUUCUUUGGUGAUCAUGAACAAGUGGAGCCCAACCAUGAUAUUCAAUUCUCUAAACAACUCGGCAAUCCUUCACGAAGUAAGUUCAAACUCAUCGAUCACUCACACAAAAAAAUAGCAUGAUUUAGCUAUAAAGAAGGUUAUAAUUAACAAAGCCCUUGUGGAAUACCAGUUAAGAAAUUAAACGAAUUGAAAGAGUGUUACUGGUAUUACCAAUUCCACCGUGAUUUGAAAUAAGAGUUAUCUGCAUAUCAAACAGUGUGUGUUGGCAAAACCAUUGGUUAUAAACAUAUAUUUCUUAUAUGUCUGUGCAUGCUUGGUUUGACCAUUAGCAUGUUGUUGUUUCAAUGAAAACCAUGCAUUUUCUAUUCAUAAAAAGAGUAUCUGUAAUGUUGCUGAGGUUCCAUUGAUGAAAUUAUUUGCAGCAUCAAUUUGCAGAAUUUCAGUCCUUGGGAAAACCUUGGGAAACCUACAACGAUCACAUCUAGCAUUUGCGCUCAACUUGGAUUGCACCCAUCAUGUGUUUGUGUCAGCAGAAUAAAAUACAAUCAUGCUAUGUAUUUCUUUACUUUCCUUUUGGCAUGUAAUGUGGUAAGGUAUCUUCCCAUCAACUACCAUAUGGGAAAAAUAUUUCGUGAUGUUAUCUCUAUAUAUAAAAUUUUACUUCUUUCUUUUAACCUCCAUCUUUGAGAAAGCUUCUGUCAAUAUCCCAUAAUUCUCUUACUGGUGUUUUAAUUAAGAAAACACUUAAUUUAAUCAUUUCCCUAACUCUGGUUGGAUAUGAUUAAGAAAAGGAUUUAUGCUGCUAUUGCUGUCAUGUCAUUUUUUUAACAUAUAAUAGCAUUGUUGAUGCUACCCUGACAUAUUUGCUGUGGUGGUUUUUCUUUUUGCAAAGUCCAAUCAUCCCUCGGAAAAGUAUUAGGGUUACUUCUCAGAUGUAUGUAAUGUAUGUUUAUAGUUGUUUGUGGAUAACUUCCUAAGUGUAUUCCAAUUUGUGAAUUCAUCUUAUAGCUUUAUAGACGUGACUGAAUUGACACUUGGGUGAUGAUCCACUAUGUAUCCACUUUCAGAACAAGUUUCCAUUAACUUAUCCAUUUCGAUUUUCAUUAUGAUUAUUUAGCUUGAUCAUAUCAUAUAAUUUAGGACACAGACAAUGACCAAACUAAUAACAUGUCUUUAAGAAUGUUGUUUCACCCAAAUGAUAUAAAACAAUCUUGAAAGAUCAAGGCUUUGGCAUUUGACAUAUAUAGAUAGUAAAAUUACAAGGGAUGGUGGUAGAAAACAAUUAUAAUACACGAAAUUUAUAAACAAAAAUGGAUAGAAUGUAUUGUAUAUAUUCAUAUUUUUAUAGAGUUUUCAUGAAGUAAUACAAGUUAUACACAAAAAAUUAAAGUAAAUUUUAUUCAUCUCAAUUUUGGCUUUUCAUAUACAGAAUUCAAUGUGUUUGUUUAAGGGAUUCAACUAUAUAUGCACUUUACUUGUCUUUAGUUAGUAAAUUCUAAGGUGGCUCAUAUUAUGAAUUAAAAGCAACUAGUUGACUUUAAUGGCAUUUGCUGUGUAGCCAAAAGCAUGGGAAUUCAAAUGUUGACUAUCAUAUAAAAUACUGUGAAAAGUUAUCAAUAUGGUUUAUUGCAUAAACUAUUCGCAUAUAUAUAUAUAUAUAUAUAUAUAUAUAUAUAUAUAUAUAUANNNNNNNNNNNNNNNNNNNNAUAUAUAUAUAUAUAUAUAUAUAUAUAUAUAUAUAUAUAUAUAUAUAUAUAUAUAUAUAUAUAUAAAAAUAAAAGUUUCACAUCAAUUAGAGAUAAGACCAAAUUAUAAUAUAUAAAUAAGAUGAAAAUCUCACCUUACACGUCGGUUUUAUAAGAUUGAAUUAGACUUAAGUCAGUUUUAUGAGAUUGAAUUAGACUUAAAUAUCAAGCUAUAUAGUACACAAAUUUUACGCAAACGUUUUACAAAGAACAAAUUAUAAGCAUAGUUUUAAAGAUAAUUAUUAAUAAAAAUCAAUUUUAGUACAUGUCAUUCAUAACCAUUUCUAAUCCAAUAAAAUCUUUUUACAUGGUAAGUUUAGACGUACUUUAUCUAAAAUAAAACAAUAUAAAAGCAUUAGUUUAAAUGAUAUAACUGGUCACGUUGACAAGAUGAAGAAAUGCACAGAGAAAUUUCAUUCCUUUAAACUUAAAAAGGCGAAUAGUAAAGUGAGUUAUUCAUAAUAAAUAUAACUAUGAAUUGAAAAGUUUGGCUCAGUAAAAGGGUAGGAUUUAUAUUUUUAUGUUCAUCAAUAUUAGCUAACUAUGUACAUAAACAAUUUGGACUAAAAUUUUUUAUUUCUAAUAAAAAACUUAAUAGAUAAAUAUAACUAUAGAUUAUUUUUUCUAUAUAGUGAUUGUCGAGAAAAGAGAAAUAUAAAUACCAUAUUGGACACAUCAUAGUUUGGAAUACCUAUGAUAUUUAUUGUUUAUAGUUUAUAACAUGAAUAAUUUAAAAAUUAUAUAAAAUAAGUAGAUAAAAAUAAUUUAUAAGAUAAUUUUCAAAUAUAACUUUAAUGUAUAAAAAAAAAAUACAAUUUCUCGCAAAAGCAGUGAUAUAUCACACGAUAAAUAUAAACUACGAGUAGAGUAAAAUCGAGAGACGUGUUAAUUAUGCUCCCCUUUUAGCUUGAUUUCAAAGCAUUUGGAAUAUUGGAGAAAACGAAUUUGUAAAGUUUGGAGAUACAAGGAUAAAGAUAGACAAGAAAAGAAGAAAUAAUUAAAAAUUAAAAGCGACAGAAAGAAAGAAAGAAACUUAUAGAAUACAAAAUAUUUAAAGAAUAUAUUACAUAAAGUAGAUGAUAUAACUUUUUGGAAUUUUGAUGCUUAGUCAUUUCAUGAAUUUCACAAUAUAAAACACAUAACAAUAGUAUAAGCACCAGAAUAUGUUGGUCCAAAUAUCAUACUGUUAUAUUUAUGUCCGUAAGUGUUUAAUUAAGAGGUUGCAAAAUAAAAUACAACCAUGUCGGAAAUUUUAUCUUAGAAUUUAAAUUUUAAAAUUUUCAGGUUAUACAAAUAAUAUAAAAUUUAGAAUGUUAUAUGAGAAGUAUAAAUCUGAUAUAUUCCAUUUCUUGCGGUCAAAAGUUGACAGUCAACAAAGGAAAAAAAAGAAAGAAAAGAAGAAGCCAUCCAAGACAGAGAAGAAGCCAAACAGUUACUGUUUUUUGGUUCAGAAUAUCAGCACAGUGUCACUUCAACUUAUCCAUCUUGCUUCUUUAUUUUUUAUUUUUUAUUUAGAAAUGGAGAUCAGGUUUAUUUAUAGAUUAUUUAUCACUAAAAUAUUCACACAGUGAUAGCAGUUAAAUUUACAUAUAAGUCAGAAAAUUGUUUUCUGUAAGCUUUGAUUCCUUCUAAAAGGAGGAGAAGGAAUCUAAAAAGUUUCAAUUAUUAGUACUGUUCCUAACGGAAAUUUUGCUGUAUACAGUCUUCCAAUUAAUUAGCCUAAUUUAAUCCCUGAUCACCUAAAUUUUUCAUUUUUUAACUAACAAAAUAGCUUUUUUGUAAAUAUAAAAUUAGAGAUAUAAUAUAAUUUUUAAAUAAUAGUAUACGUGAUUUAUGACUAAAUAAUUCUAACAGAAUAAUAAACUGUUUUAUUUUUAUUCGGUGGAAAAUCUACCUUUAUUCAAAUUUCAUUUCAAAAUUAUCAUUCCAUUAACUGAGGUUAUAAUAUUGUAUUUUGAGUUACAAUUUUUUGAAAAGUUCUAACACACAUUUGAUUAAAAUAUAAAGAAAAAAUUGUAUAAAGUUUUGACUAAAUCUUGUCCCUAACCACCCAACAUCAAAGCAAUCACAACAAAAAGACCAAACAGAAGAAAAUACACUUUUUAAACGAGUAGUGUUUUUUCUUCUCCAUAAAAGAUGUAACCUAGGCAUGCGCAAACAAACAAAACAGUAUUGUUUCUCAAUAUUAAUUAAUUAUAUAUAUAUAUAUAUAUAUAUAUAUAUAUAUAUAUAAAAUUUAUAUUUAUAUGCUGAGUUUACUGGAGUUUUAGCCUUUGAAAUACUCGAAACAUUUAAAACGGAUAAUUUAUCUCUUACAAAAAAAUCUAAAAAAUAAUCAUUUUUAUUUGAUAAGAUUUUGUUUCAAAUCUUCAGAUGGGAAAAAAAAACAAGUAUUUUUUUUUCACUUGAGUAUAAUAAAUUAGGCCAAACAAAAAAAUAUUACAAAUUCAAUUCUCUCUUCUCCCUGUUAUCACCUUUGAACAUGGUACAGCAGAGGGACAAACUUAUCAGAAGACAGAAUUCCCAACCUCCUAAUCUAUUUUCUGUGAUAAUUUUCUUAGAAUUUUCUGUCCAUGGCUCCCAUGAAAAUCAAUCCAGAGCUUAAUAAUCAUGAAUAACAUGAGAGCAUUUUUUGCUUUAUUAUGAUUUAAAAGAAGAAAAGCAAGAAAAGAUUCAGUGGAGCAAGAGAAAGGAAGCCUGCGGAAAGCCCUAGAGACUAUAGAACAGAUUAACAUACUGCAGCUCUUCCACAAAUGGUAAACCAGCAACUUUCUUGCCAGAUCCAUACACCCAUUUGUUUCAGCUACAUCAGUGAAAGUGAUCCAUCAUUUUUUAGCAGAAAAAAUAGUACAAAAAUCUCACAGAAAUCACUGAAACUUUUAAAAUUUUGUCCUCUUUUCUACUAUGGUUUCCAAGUCCAUAUGCCUCCUAGAAACCCUUUUCUGGGAUUUCAUUUCUCACCCCUUUAAAAAGGUUUCUUUUAUCUGCAAGGCACAAAGGGGGAGGAACUCAGAAGAGAGAAAGAAGAUAAGUUAAGGAAGAGGAAUAUACCCAGAUAGAUCCAAACAUGAGGUAUAACAGCAAUAGCAAAUAGCAAAUCCCUAAAGUUUGCAGAUAUGGUUGUUAGGCAGAAGAGAGUGAUGGGAAUGGUGAUGAGAAACCCUAGGUAGGUAGGGAAAUUGAACAGUGAGUGCAAGACAUUGAGGCCUGAGAAACCCUAAUGGGUAUGGAAAAUGGAAGAUAAUGGAGUGGUUUGGAAUGAUUGCCCAAAGGGAAAACACCAAAGAAGGACUCAAAUAGCAACAGGAAGUGCGUCCUUGUAUGACAGAAAAUGACAUUUUCUUUUAGGCUUAAAGGUUAUUAUUAGGGCAACAAAAUAAUUGCAACAAGUCCCAGACAAGUGUGUCUUUAUUUUCUGCAACUUAUCUAACUCUCACUCUCUUUCUGUCAUCUUUUGAUUUGUGCACUUCUUAAGAUACCCAUACCUUCAAAUCAAGGGAAACACCGUAAAGGGUAGUGAAAGUCACAUGCUUCGAAUAUAUACUCUAGAUACUUCCUCUACUCUCUACUCUCAUUUUUAACUCUCAAAUUUUCAUUGAAAAUUCUACGUCUAUUAGAUGAUCAAUUCAGUGUAUACAAGUGAAUACAAAUCUUAUAUUAUAAAUCAAUUUUGUGGAAUUGAGUUAAGCUUAAAAUUCAUAUGAGAAUUUGUAUUCUGCAUCAUCAUCUCUCAUGCCUAUAUUACUAGUCAUAAUUAAAGUGAAACAAAUGCAAAGUAAUGCACUGUGAUUCCAUUGCUGCACACACUGAAUAGACAUUCCAUUGAGAGAGAUCCCUUCAUUUUCUCACUAAAGUAAUUCAAACCCUACUCAUUUCUUUCUUCCAUUUAGCUUAUGUUAAAAACAAAUAACUUUAACUCUAUAGUACAUAUCCAUUCAUUUCUUAUUUUCACUCAUCCAACAAUUUCUUUUACCAGCCAUGUGAAACCUGUCGUCUCACUAAAUUUUAAGCACACACAUUCUGCAACUUCUUUUUUCAACUGCAUUCCUUUCAAUUAUUGAUAUACUUUUCUACCUCCACAAUAUUAAUAUAUAUGUAUCGAAUAAUUCAAAAACUUCACUUUUCAAAUUACAAGUUCGACUUUAUACUAUAAGAGAAAGUCUUCAUUGAAAUGAUAAUAUAUUCAAAUCCCAUCAGAACACGUAGAGUUCAAGUAUUUUAGAGAAAUAUGAGAUUAAAAGAAAAUAUUCAAUUAAAAAUAAUCAGCUAGAAAUUUAUGGAAGAAAAAAAUCCGUGAAUAAAAAUAAUAUUUAUAUACAAGUUUAAAUUAGGGAUUUGUUUAUCUCUGUAUCUAUUGCUAUAAAAGAAAAAAUAAUAUUUAUCCAUAAACAAAUUUAUUAAAAUUAUUUUAAUUGAUAUGUCUACUUGUUUUAACUUAUAAAAAAUUUGAAUCUAACAAAUAACGGGAAAACACACACAAAAAAUUAAAUAAAUGUUCAUUUAGAAGACAUAAAAUAAUUUUCCAAAUAUCUGUAUUGAUAUUGAAAUGUAUAUGUAUUUUUCUUUUAACAAAAGUGAUAAAUAAGAUGUGGCUUAAUUUUUACAAUUGAUGGGUUUGUACGAUCUUUUCUUUUUUUACUCUGCAACAACAUCAAAUGGUGAUGAUUUGUACGAAAGUGGAUUAUAUAAUCGUGCUCCUCUAAAUUACAUAAUUUAAAAAUAAAUGCUCAAAUUGUUAUUUGUUUCUUAUGGCUGUUGGUCAAAACCGUACAACUUCUGCUUUCCGUCAAUUUUCUUCUUACGUUUUUUUUCUCUAAUAUCAUUACAUGAUUUCUGAAUAAGCAAUAUACAUUUAUAAAUGUUGUUUUUAGAAAAUAGCUACCAUCACACCAGUUUUUGUGGAAUUCAUGCAUCUUAUUAUCAUUCGUAAAAAUCAACCAUAUACUGAUAAUUAUUAUAUGCAUCAAAUAAAUUUAUAUUACAAAAGGGAUUAAAUUACAUUACAUAAAGUAAAACCUGCUUAGUAUGAGGGAAUAGGAAAUACGAAAGACAUUCUUUCAAUAUUUUUACAAAAUAUAAUUAAGUCAAAAUCAUAUACUGUGUAAACCUCUGAAAUAUUAUAAUUUUUUUUAAAAAAAUGAAAAAUUCAUUAAGUAACUGAGAACUAAUGGCAGAAAUUGCACCAGACAGGUAAAGGGUUAUCUUAUCGCCACCUUUGACUACCUUUUUUUCCGACUAGCCCCUAUAAAUUCAUAAACCACACUAACAUACCUUUGUUUUCCCUUUGGUAAAGAUGAAAAAAGUGGAUUUAGUUUCAUAAUAAAGUAUUUACAUAGAUUUAUUUAUCUUUUACCCUUCAUAAAUUAUAAACUAUACAUUGAUUUUACGUAUCAGAUAUACUGUUUUUUUAUGUUAAACUUAUUUCUGUCCAAACAACCAGAUAAAACUAGAAGUUCUAAAAAUAGGAUUCCAUUCUUUAUGUCUAUGUCAGUCAGUAGUCAUCAAAAUAUAUAUAUAUAUAUAUAUAUAUAUAUAUAUAUAUAUAUAUAUAUAUAUAUGUGUGUGUGUGUAUGUAUAUAGAUAUUGACGAGCAGAUGAGAUUAUCGAAAUAAAACUGAUAUUUCUCAUUGUAAAAUAGGAUUUAUCAUGACACGAAUCAAAGAAUCAAAACAUAUACUGGUGUUAUUUGACCUCUUUUUUAUAAUAAAAGAUGACAAGUUCUAACACCCCAAAACCAAAAAAGGAGAAAAAGUAAAGUUUCUACAAAGUAAAGAAAAUGAAUACAAAACAUUCAAGUUCAAACUUAUAAUAAAACCUCAAGAGCAGAAAAAGAAAAAGGAAAUGGAAACACGAAAACAAAUAAAACUGCUGAGAGUGCAGGUGCAACUCACCUUGAAAAAUUGAAGAUCUGAUAUGUGGCUUUUUGUUUUCAACAGCAGAAUGUAAACAGUUUUGCAGUCUGGAAAAAGCAAUUCAGAUUGUGAUGAAGAUCAUCAUUCAACAUACAUAAAUCUCUUCCCUUAUUGAUGAAAAAAUAGAUUUUGAAAGGUAACAAACCCGAGAGUCCAGGGAGCCAUAUGGAAAAUUUUAUCUCUGACCAGCAGAAAGAUAAAAUGGUGGAUCGUAUCAGUUGUAGAUAUAUACAUAUACAAACAAGGAAUUUGAAAGCAUUUAGCAUUGAAUGUCUACAGAUUCAGAUAGUGAAGGAAGGGACGAAAUUCAAAAAAGAAUGAAACAAAUCUGUCAGAAGAAAGAUUUCAUUUAUAGGCAUGAUGAUGAAAGGUGAUACUUGUUCGAUUUUGUUACGUUGGUAACUAAUUACUAUCUCUAUAAUAAAUAAUAAGCAAUAGGGUUUAUAAGUAGGAGGUUGGCUAUUAGUGUAUCAGAGG